rnacentral:lncRNA from 1 species
CUUUGUUUGGCAUUACGAGUGUAUAAGCAUUGUUUGUGAUUAUUGUUGAUGUUAUUUUCACUUUUGUGCGUUUUCGUGCUCUUUGUUUAUAGUAUUUAUCUUAUGUGUUACCGCUUUAUAUCUGUCAUCAUGAGUCCACCCCCCGGCCUUCUUUCUGCAACAAGUCCGUAGUACACGUGUUGUACACAACCUCUAGUUGAGUCACCCUUAUUUUAGGGGGGGAGCCGUCGGUGUUAUGGAGUAGGUGGAAAGCAAAGCAGCCACUAUCGACCAUACGCUCCCCCGAACAGCCUUGUUAGUGAACCACAACGUAGGUCAGCCUUUAGGUCAUGCUUAUGUGCAUCAUAUUGAGACCUAGUGGGGCCUACUU